rnacentral:lncRNA from 10 species
AAUGCCUUAAAGAAAGGACUGAUCUCCCCUGAAGAAGAGAGAAUUCUGCCUCUAGAUUGCUUACAAUUUGAACUGGAACAUCAGCUGUUCUCUAGGUCUUAAGUCUGCUGCUCUAACCUACAAAUUUUGGACAUGCCAAUCUCCACAGUCACAUGGGCCAAUUCCUUAGUUUCUCUGGAGAAUCCUGACUAAUGUAUGCAAUGUCUUUAUUUCAUCCUCAUUCUUAAAGGAUAUUUUCAUCAGCAACACCACACCCUCCUGAUCACCAUAGCUUUAUGGAUGCAAUUGUCCAAUUAUUGGUGAAAUUGUCAUUUCAUGCUAUUGGCUAUUUGAAAUUCCUCCUCUAAUUUCAGAAUAAAUCACUGAAAUUGACAUCGGCCAGUCUGAAUUUCAAGAAAUUACCUGCUGAAGACAAGAGGGAUCUCUUCUUCAGAUUUGCAGUCUGGGGAAGACACAGCCUCUACUGUACUUUAGAACCUGAGAUAUGGUGGUGGAGGGAGCCCUGGGUCGAGUGGUAAGAUUCACCCUUAGGUUAGUAUUGACGUAAGGUGACGAGGAGCUGUAGACAAAAGAUUGUAACCAUAAGAACUUCAUAGUUUUUGUAUUUUCACCGAGCUUAUAUUUGGUGUGUUUUUUGUCUUUUCUUUAUGAUUAUCAAUAAAAUGCUUGAAAGGAGAUGAGGUUGGGGAAUAAUUUUUGGGAAUACCACAAAAGACACUUUUGUGAUGGAAAUCCUUAAAAAGACACAAUCCAUUACCUCAUUGGGUUCAAAAGGCAAUUGUGAACUACUGUGGAGUUUGGAAAGAAGCAAUGAGGUAAUCAAGGAUACUGUUGACAAUCUAGCUUAUCCUAUGGAUGGAAGGAAAUUGAAACUAAUGGAGGCGAGGCUGGUAAAACAAUAGGGUUUGAGACAAUUCUGUGGCAUUAGAAAUGAAAGAGGAAGGUGAAUCCGGGAGACGGAGCUUGCAGUGAGCUGAGAUCGCGCCACUGCACUCCAGCCUGGGCGACAGAGCGAGACUCCAUCUCAAAAAAAAAAAAAAAGAAAGAAAGAAAAGAAAGAGGAAGUAAUAAUCUGUGAAAUUUUUCCUUAGGAACUUAUUGGCAAUUUAAAAAUGAAUUUGUUAAGCCAUGCUGGUUCUGACCCAAAAGCCAUUCCCCAGCCUUCCUCACUCCCCUCUUUCACUACUGGCAGAGAUUGUCUCUCAUUUUACAAGCUGAAAAUGCCAGAUGCUUGCUUUUACAGUCUUCCUUACACCCAGAGCAUGUGCAUAUGUUUAAACGGUCAAGAAGAAGUCAUAACAUGGGUGUCUGGGAGAGCUUUUAUCCCACAAAAACAACACUUCACUCAAAAAACAAACCAAACAAAGAAAAAUUCUCCUUCCUGCCAUUGGAUGUGAGGCUCAGACCUCUAGUAACCAUUUUGUGACCACAAAGCAACAAGCCUGAGGAAAAGUCCUACACGCUGAGCAACAGGCAGAAAUAUUGCCAUCGCUGAGUUGCAGAAACAAAUCUAGAGAUGUUUUGCUUCUGUAAUUAUUUUUUAUGGGAGAUUACAAGUGGGUUUACUGUUCACUUUUCAAAUCUUAUUUCUCUAUGAUGUUUAGCUUGGGUAAAUUUUACCUUAAAUCCACUUUUUUAUGUAAGGUAACAUAUUUGUCGGUUUCAAGGAUUAAGAUGUGGGCAUACUUGGAGGCCAUUAUUUUGCCCACCACAGGUGAAAAAGGAAGUGUUAUUCUUAAAUCAUUUGGAAGGAUCUCUGUGUAAAUGCAAGAGCGAGACAAGAAAAUGCUGUCAUUCUUUUGAUAUGGACUCGAAUUUCCACUUCAUGGUUGUCUGCUUCCUUUUUAGAGUAUUAUUUAUCCUCCUAAUAAAAAGAAAGUGAAAUUUCCC